rnacentral:rRNA from 1 species
UACGUAGGGGGCAAGCGUUGUCCGGAAUCAUUGGGCGUAAAGAGCGUGUAGGCGGCCAGAUAAGUCCGCUGUGAAAUCUCGAGGCUCAACUUCGAGCUGUCGGUGGAAACUGUCUGGCUAGAGUCCGGAGGAGGAGAAUGGAAUUCCUGGUGUAGCGGUGAAAUGCGCAGAUAUCAGGAAGAACACCCGUGGCGAAGGCGGUUCUCUGGGACGGUACUGACGCUGAGACGCGAAAGCCAGGGGAGCAAACGGG